AAAAAAAAAAAAAAAAACUUGAGCACUUGCUAGAUCUGCUUACCCAUAAAUGGCUGUGAAGUGAAGGAUGCUGAUCUUCCUUGUUGAACCUCCAUGGCAUACAGUGACUGGACAUAGUUGAUUAUCUCAUCUAGCAUUCCAGCUUUCCCAGUGAUCUUAUUGCACCCCGGUACUAGAUCCUGCAGGUAUCUCAUUCUCUCACUGAUUUUUUCCCUCCUCACCUGCAAAUUAUUCAACACAGUAUAUGCAUUUGAGCUUUGAGAUGCAUGAGAAUUUUGAUCUGAUAUAGUAGAAGAUUGAUGAAUACUAAUUAAUUUUCCAACUAACUCACUCUUUCUGCUAAGCUAUGACUGUCUGUGGCUUGGCCCCGUCGUGCCCGGACAUGAAUGUAGUCUGGCUUUUUGUCUUGUGUUACCUUGGAAGUGUCAGUGCUGUGUUCUUUCUUGCUAUUGUUGUUAGUGUGCUCUGUUCUGACGUCUUCUUGUUGGCAUCCUUUCAGCUUCCUGUCCUUUCUUUCCUCUUCUGCAACUGCCUGAAAA